UCUUGUGGAUGAGCAAAGAAAGUGGUUUCUCGAGAUGAAAUAUACUCCUGGUGAAGAUGCUUGUGAA
rnacentral:pre_miRNA from 1 species